AAAUUCGCUGAUGAGCUAAAUCCCUCUAUCAAUGGUUCUCGUCCUAUUACUGCUCUUGUUGUCGGCUUAGCCCAGUUGGAUACAUACAGUACAUAAGCAGAAUCCAUUCCUUUCACAUCAAUUCAUCGAUCAUCAUUCUAGUUGACCAUCACACUACUGCAUACCGGUUAUCCAUGCAUAUUUCUACCCACUUGGAAACAUUUACAGCGUAUUACGAGAUGGUCAGGGAAAUCAAUAAAGCGGUCUACGAAGCGGGGAGAAAAAAAAAAAAAAGGAUCCAUCCCCCCCCACACCAAGUUCAACAUGGGAACGGGGCACGGGGCGGCAAUCAUAUAUUUGUAUAACUAUACGCAGUAUACAAGGGCCCAAGAUAACAAACAACAGCUGGGGCAAAACCA
rnacentral:sRNA from 1 species